UCUUGCAUAUUUCCAUAAGCGGAGGAAAAGAAACCAACAGGGAUUGCCUCAGUAACGGCGAGUGAAGCGGCAACAGCUCAAAUUUGAAAUCUGGCCUCUUGGGGUCCGAGUUGUAAUUUGUAGAGGAUGUUUUGGGUACCGCCCCGGUUUAAAUUUCUUGGAACAGAAUGUCAGAGAGGGUGAGAAUCCCGUCUUGGACCGGUGGUAGGGCCUGUGUAAAACUCCUUCGACGAGUCGAGUUGUUUGGGAAUGCAGCUCAAAAUGGGUGGUAAAUUUCAUCUAAAGCUAAAUAUUGGCCAGAGACCGAUAGCGCACAAGUAGAGUGAUCGAAAGAUGAAAAGAACUUUGAAAAGAGAGUUAAACAGUAUGUGAAAUUGUUGAAAGGGAAGCGCUUGCAACCAGACUUGAGCGCGACGGUUCCCCUAGCCUUUUGGCUAGGUUACUCCGUCGUGUCCAGGCCAACAUCGGUUCUGAGGGUCGGUCAAAGGCCCCGGGAAUGUACCUACCCACGGGUAGACUUAUAGACCGGGGUGUCAUGCGGCCUCUCGGGACCGAGGAACGCGCUUCGGCUCGGAUGUUGGCGUAAUGGUUGUCAGCGACCCGUCUUGAACCCAGGGGACCA
rnacentral:rRNA from 1 species